rnacentral:lncRNA from 1 species
UUGCAGUUGAAAAAUUAUAUAAUUUGUAUUAUCUUAAACAUGUCAUUGAACUUUUAUUACUUUUUUAUACGCUCUUUAUGUUCGCAAUUGUUCAAAACGAUAUAAGAAAUAAAAAGUGAAAAACCAAGCAAGUCUUUGACAAAGUCAAUACGACACUUGUGAAACGUGGAAAUAUUUUGUAGGUGCUAUGAACGUCGUUCCUCCACCAGACGAAGAUUUUCAUUGCUUUAUCGUCUCCCAUCAAGACAUAAUUUUCAUAAUGUUUAUUUCGAAACUACAAUAUAAUAAAAACAAUAUAUCAUGUUACCCAAUUAAGUAACAAGGGCUGCAUCAAUUGUGAUACACAAUAAAAAAAAGGAUGAUAUUUUUUAUAGUUUGACUCAAUUGAUAAAUGUUACAUCACAUGUUGUAUAACUGAUGUUGUCUGUUGAUUUCUUAAAAACAGGAGAAUAUAUCCAGCUCUGGUUACGCAUCAAUCAAUAUGACUGGCUUGUUCUGCAAAAUUGGCAAAAAAUAACCCCCAUAAUAUAGUUGCACUGAUACAUCAGUGAACAUCUACAACUUCCCGUUAAUAAAGGGAUGUUGCAGAUAAUGUUAUUCCUACAAUACUUACCCUAGCCUUCGAAUUUGACAAUUUUAACCGACCAGAUGGUGCGCGUAUUAUUCACCCCAUAGCGUUAUACAGUCACACUUUAUUAAAGGGUUUUCUAACGGAUGUACAAACAAACCAACAAUGAUGAACAUACUCAUAUACCCUCACAAAAUGACCGACAUACAUUGAAAUUAAUGACAACAAAGAUCAGGCUAGUGUAUUCGAUUGAUAUAGAAAAGUUUACCCUGUAAAAGUUUCGAUUAUUAAAAAUCCAACUCGACACUGCUUGAAUUGGAAAACAGUUGUUAUCGCAUUUAUCAAACUACGAAAACCCUCAUAAUAAACUAGAUAAUUAUCCAGUUAAACGACAACUGUUAACUUUAGCAUUUUUUUUAAAAAUACUCACAACAGAUUUGCCAGUAUGGUAUGACUGUUGUAUUUUUUAAGUCCCAAAAGAAAAUUAUAAAUGCAAUUGCCUUUUAUAUAACUCAUUUUUACCACACAAAUAUUGGGAAAAAACCAACAGCAAGUUGAGUUUAACGUUUCAGAUUCAGCCAGGCCGUUGCUUUUCUGUUUUGUAUCUCAUUUUUGUCAUCCCAAGCCUUUCAUUACUUAUAAAACGAUAUGGGUUUUGUGUUUAAGGCGAGGUGCCAUCGGGGGGUUAAGAUUUGAAGUCAGCAAUAUUGAGACCAUGCAACACGUGUUUGUUUUUGAAAAUGUUGGUUGUGAAUUGGUUCAUCAAUAGGGUCAAUUUUACUUUCUACCAAGUACGCAUAUGGUGAAGACGUAUUUUUCACUACGUAGAUUGUGCAAGUAAUUUUUUUUAAUUCCAAUUCAAAUUGAAGGUCAUAUACCUUGCAAUCUAUCAGAAACUUUUAAAUGUGUUUUAGUGUAAUGUAUGCUUACAAUGUGUCCAGGUAAUAUAAAAUAUUUCGAAAAUUAUUUAAACGAUUUCGAUUUUUCUUUUGUUUUAAGAUUACUUUGUGUUUCUUCUUCAUGUGUUUCAUCUUCUUUCUUUUUUUUAAUCCAAAGCUAAUAUUCUGGUUUAAAAAUAAAGAUACUAUCCUGUGCAAACUUCACUCGUGCACUAUACAUUUCUUGUGCAUAAAUAUGCGUUCAAUGAGAUAUAUUUCCACUUCCAAUGUACACACCUGUAAAAGGAAGACUACAAGAAAGCUUUAAUUUUUUUUUUAUGUAUAUAUCAUUUUAUCUUUUAAAUCUUUAUCGUUUUCAAUUAUUUAAAGAAGAGUCCAGAUAUGUGCAAAAUGAUAAAUCUGAUGCAUGCUAGUCCAAAUGGAUAAAUUCGGUUAUCAAUCUUAAAUGAUAAUUCAAGUUAUUGCAUGUCCAAACAGAUCAAUCUAGUAAUUCCAAGUCCAAAAUAAUAAACCCGGUCAUCGAAAGUCCAAAAUGAUAAAACUGGUUAUUUGCAGGUGCAAAAUAUUAACAUAUCAAGUUUUAAACACAAACAAGCCAAGCAAGUCUGUGAUGAUGUUAAAAGACACUUGUGAAACGUGGAAGUAUUUUGCUACAGUUUAUCAAUUUAUAACGUCGUUCUCCCACCAGACGACUGUUUGUUAAUUGAUGUAAUUUAACGUCCCCCAUCAGGACCAGGAUCCAUAAUGUUUUAUAAUUAUCUGAAAAAGAAAAAGAGAUAAUUGGGAAACAGAUUUAUGAAAAGGUUGUUUAAAUAACCAUAUUAAACUAAAAUAUUUAUUUUUAAAUGAAAUAAAAAAAUCAUUGUCGAUAUAAUGUAUUCAUUUAUUUAUUUCGCUUACUGAACUUGUUUUUAUUCGAGCGUCACUGAUGGGUCUUUUGUAGACGAGGCUCGCAUCUUGCACAUAUACCAAAGUUCACUCCUGUUUUAUAUAAUAAAUUUAUCGUUCAUAUUGGAAUAAAACAGGAUGUUUCGACUAAAUUAUUAUCUAACUUAAUACACAAAAUGGUAAAUCAGAGGAUUACACAUUCUUCGAGGUACUAUUGAACAAAAAUAAUGUAUAUCAAAGACAUUGUGCAUAUUACCUGCCAAACACACUAUUAGUUUGAUGAAUAACGAUUUUGAUAAGAAAUGUAUUUGCAAAGAUUCGUACUUUAGUUAGUGAACAUAAAAUUAUUAUCAACUUGAAUAUCGGAUUUCUUUACAUAUCCCCGAAUCCAUACAAUACAUGGAAUACUCAAAAUAAUUAUCAACGUGUGUAUACUAGUAUUUAAAACUUAAAAAGCACAUAUCAACGACAAAAUAUUUUAUUAUACUUCACGUUAAAAUUCCAUAUUUCGAUUGGCUGAUACGAGGGCGUUAAUUUACUCUAUCACAUGGCUGAGAGGGUGACACUUUUUUUGAAUGUCACCCUCUCGUCCAGACCAAUACAAAAUCGAGAAUUGAAUUUACAUCAAAUUAUUAAAGACAAUGCUUAAGUUCUACGUUUUGGCUCAGAUUCUAUUAUUUAAAUGUAAAAAAAUAAAAAAAAAACAACAUCUUGCUUCACUUCUGUUGAUUUUUAUAAUACCCAUAACGUUGUUAUGUACAUGACGUCAUAGAAAAUAUUUUCAAAUAAAAUGCAUCUGUAAAAGACAAUAACGAUAGGACAUUUAGUAUAAUGAAUUAAAUAACACAUAGCUUAGAGGCUGAUAGAGCAGAUUGGUACCCCUCGAAAAAGCAUUGUCAACCUUGGCUGCGCAGUUGACUAUGUUUUCUCCGGGUAACAAUCUGCUCUAUCACCCUCUCAGUUAUGUGUUAUUUAUAUAUUGAUAGCAUCAUUGCCUGAUCUCACUGUCUUUUUAAAGAGAUACAAUUACACUAAAUAAAGGCGUAGUAUACCGAUGUUCAAAACUCAUAAAAAACAAGUCCUGGUCACAAACCAAACCCGAGGGAAAUGCAUUAAAUAUGAGAAUGACGACACAAUAUUAAAAAGUAAAAAAUUAAGAUAAAUACGCAAUCACUUACCUCGAACAUUUUCAUCUUCCUUUUUUUAUAAAUCAAACAUCCUGUAAGAAAAAGUGUAGUUUACGUUAGACUUUAUGAGGUUCUUUUUUCGCUUUGCCAUUAUUGUUGUGAUUGACGUACCAAUACAGGAAUAUAGCAGUUGUUAUUAAAAAUGCAUUAAGGUGAACGUUGGCUUUUGUUUUUGUUGCAGUUCAAUUUUUCUGUUGUUUUUCGCUUUAAGUCGAUGUGUUUCUCUCGGUUUUGGUUUGUAACCCAGAUUUUUGUUUUCGAGGUUUGGUUACUGAACAGCGUUAUACUUCUAAUAAUCUUUUACAUGAUUCGGUACUCUGACAUGAUAUCCAGUUUGUAUGUAUUGUGUACAAACCAAAGUGACGGUAAACCAAUGUUAAAAUAAAUUUCUUCAAAUUAAAUCUAAUAAAAUACUUGUUAGUACAUAGAAACACUUUAAUAAAUCAAUGAAUUUAAUUUAGAUGAAAUAGUUUUUUUUACACUAUGCAAAACAUCGGUUGGUGAAAAUUUAGAUAUUUUUACUCUACUAGAAUAACUUCACUAAACACGUACUGUUAAGAAGAAGAUACCAAAGAUCUCACAUAUAAAUGUUAUCAAUAUGAUAUAGAAUCGAUGACAUUCAGAAUACCACUUUUUUCCUUUUGAAUACAAAAUCGGAAGAGGUGACCACGGAUCUGAUUUGUAAAUAGACAUUGUCAUAUAAAAAAAAUGACUGCUUAAACACACGAAACAACUAUAUAUUUGGGAACGUAUUGGUAUUAUUAUUAUGAAGCCUGGAGUGAUGAAGGCAAUAUAUAAAUAUCACAUAUGAAAAUAUAAUAAAAAAAAAAACGAAAAUUAAUAACCGAUUUUGUUUUGAGAUUAAAAUCAGAGAGAAAAAAACUAUUAAGAGUAUAUAUUUCUAAACAUAUAACAUUAAACGUUUUUGUUAAUCAUUUUCUAAAAGUAAACGAACACGUAAUAUUUAAUAAUUUACAUUUAACACAUACCUUCUACAAAAAAUUGAAAACAGCCUAAGCCGUAGUAAGAUUCGGAAUAGGUAGCGAUAUGAUCGGAUGCGUUUUGUUUUAUACAAAAUAGUCACGUGAACACUAUUAUAUAAAAGUGUGGAUCAUAUUUCCUUAUGUUGGAUCAGGUGCAAAAUAGCUUUUGUGAACUGUACUGUAAUUGUCAUUGUCUAUCAACAUUUCAUUGCGUUUAUUACUUAUAAUAUGUAAUGAGAUUUUUUUUAAAAGAUAUGAGAAAGUAACAGACAUUUAUUCUUAUAUAUUAUGACACAAGUUUCGACAUUUUCGGUCCGCAGUGUAUUUAACUUCGUAGUUUAUGCAUUUAUACAUUUAAGCCGGAGUCCACUGAUGAGUGUUUAAAACCAUAUAUUCUGAUACAUAUGGUUUAAUGGAACACAUGUUCGUAAAGUUCUAUUCUUAUUCCUCUACAUAAAGUUUUUUAGUACAUGAACAGAAAAAAAAUUAAAUUUACGGCAAACCGAAUGGUUUAACAAGAAUCUUAGAUACUUUUCCGAAAAUAAACGGAUUUUUCUAAAAAAAAAAAAAUACUUCAAUGUUACUCGCAAAAUAAAUUGUCAGUGAUAACUUGCAAAAGUAAAUGUUACAUGCAAUGUAAUAACUACGAGAAAGUGAGUUUUAAGGUAGUAACUAAAACUUAAACUAAAAUUAAUUUGGCUCGUUUAAUUUUCUUAACAUUUUGACAAAGUAUUUACUUUGACCCUUUUACAAAAAUAUAAAAAUUUUAAAAAAUUGUUUUAUCAGAAAAUUUAGCAAUCGUACUUUAAUAUAUAUAUCGUUGAUAGGUUAAUAUAUGAUAUUUCCCCACGUUCAUGCAGUUGAGAGUAUGCAAAUAUAAAUCAUUGUAAAUUCGUUAUAAAAAGACAUUACCUGUAACGGUAAAUUGCUGGUGAAAACAGUUAAACUGUAAGUUAGCUCAAAGAAGUAUAAAAUAUACAGAAUUAUUUUCUAUCGACUUCUUUUAUAUGUCGGUUUAAUCAAUAUUAAAUGUUGAUAUUUUCAAUCUUUUGUUUGAUUUGUAACAUAUGCAGUCAUUUUAACCUACAAGUAUUAAUUUUAUUUUCAGUAACAAUAGGUAAAACACAAAUCAAUCUAUUCAAUUCAAUUUAGAAUAUUUAUGCUGAUAAUGUUUUGGUUUGGUUUUACACUAAUUUGGACGAAUUGAGGAUACAAAAAGUGAUGAUCGUUAUCAAUUGUACUUCGACAAUCUGUGUAAAUUUAGAUGUUUAAACUUUGGUUAACAAAAAUAUGUUUAUCUUUUAAAGUUUUCUUGCGUUUGCUUACUUGAUAUUUACACAGCUAUCACAACAAACAUCGUUUACAUAGUUUUAUUUUUUUAAAUGCAAAUGAACAGUCCCAAAUCUAGUUUUUUUUUCCCCAAUUAUCGUUGGUAAGUGAUUUGCCUAGCGUGUUCGCCCCGAGAGCAAAUGACCGUGGGAUGAAACUCCGGCCGGUUCAACCAAAUGCUUUGAAAUUGAUAGCUGUUGCUUCUCAGCGGAAUUAAUGAGUACUAGUUACAUAUGUACAGUUAAGACUGGUUUGUUCGGAUUCGGAGUAAAUUGUCUGGGUAUGACAAAUGUAUGAUGAUAUGCCUCUUUGUCAAUUGUAAAAAAAAUCUUAUCAAACCAGAAACUGUCAUUCAAACAAAAGUUGUGAUUUGGUUUUUAGAUGGAAAAAAGGUUUUAUGUAUUGGCAGAUAUCCUCGCACCAUUCUCGUAAAUGUUAAGCUCGUGCUUUUCUAUUAAAUUUAUAAAACAACUAUAUAAUUGUAUCAUUUUACACUGAAAAAUACCAUUUAUAAAUGUAUGUCAAGGGAAUAUCACGUAUCACUGUCACGUGAGUUAUCAGGAAUUUACGUUUAUAAAUAACUUUUGAAAAGAUUUAAAAAUAGGUUAUGGAAUUUAUGGUUUAAUAUUAUUACUGAAAAUUCCCAUUGAUAGUAUAAAUAGUUCAAGGUAUGUUAUUUGUUCAAGUUAUGAUUAAACAGUUAUCGCAAUGUUAUUACAGUAUCAUAAGAGCAUGAUGUAUUGUAUUGAAUUUUAUAGCAGUUGCUGGACAGUUAACGACAUUUCUUUUAAAUCAUUAAAUGAAUAAUUUCAGAUUAAAACCAUUAUACAUUGUUCUUUCAUGAAAUGCAUCAGUAAUAUACCGCCGUUCAAUAGUCAUAAUACGAUUCAAGAAAAACAAUUUCAGUUUACAAACUUAAACUGAGAGAAACACGUCACCUAUAACAGAAAAACAACAGAACAAUAUAUAGUAGAAAAUUAAUUAUUUAUCAUGCUGUAAUUCAAAGUCUCAAGAUAAUAAACCUGUUAAUGUAUUGUUUUCUUUUUAACCUCUCAUAGUUUUUCCGGAUAGCAAAGAACCAAUACUUUUACCAGCAUACUUCUCAACAAGGGAUAUAAUUCGUAAUUUUAAAUCAGAAUCCGACUUCCGCAGGUUUCAUAAUCAAUUGUAAAUAAAGAAAUAAUAUGCUUGCAUCAAUGAGUAAGUACGCUAUAAUCCUUAUGAAGAAGUACAAUUCAUACACCCGAAUACUCACCUUUGACUCCGAUAAAAUAUUUCUCUUACUUUUUUUCUAACAUCCAUCCUGCAAAAAUACUAAUCUCAGUCAAAUAAUUAUUGACAAUAGUUAAUUGUAAACGUUUUACUUUUCUUUGUUACAUUUAAAACUGUCCCUGAGAUUUAUCAUUUCUAUGUUAUAUAUUACCUUCUUGUGUUUGAAAACGGCAGUCUAAAGUUUGAAAUAUUAGAGUGUUUUAAUAUUUUAUUAAUGGAACCGUUUCUGAUAGAAAAGUUAUUAUUGUUUUUAUAUUUCUUGAUUAAGAUCGGUCUACUUUCCAGUCACCUACCUAUUGCCGUUUGCUGCGGUCUCAACGAUUCAGACUAUUUCCUUUUGUUAUAUGUUCCGCGUUCGUAAAUCGGUGUCAGUAAAUCUCUUUACAGGAUGUCAACAUGUAAAGAUUCCUUAGUGUAAUAAGCUGUAGAUUAAAUCUAAAUAAGCCUAAUUAGAAAGGUCAGUAGUCCACACUUUUGUGUUGACAUGCAUUAGUAUUGAUAUGAACAUAAUUAUUAACUCUCUUGUUACUAACCAUGUGUAAGGUAACAUUAUAUUAUACUUUUACCCGUUGUCUUUCUGAAAAAAAUCGUUAAAUGAUUUAUGUUUUAUUUCACUAGUGAAACUUUAUUAACUUGCUGACACCUAUUUUUGAUUUAUGAUAGGGUUGCAAUACGCUACUAUUGGUUGUUUUAACAUUAAAUCUGAUAACAAGAUUGGACAUACAUGUAUUUAUUCAUUUUAAAUCGUUCUUCUAACUACUCGAUCAGAUGGAUGUUACCCAAAUAUUUUCCCAAUAACAAUAAAACUAAACCCUUGUUGACAGAUCUAAUUGAACCAUUAUCACUUGAUCGUUUUAUUGGGCAACACUUCAAAUAGUUUUUGCACGACAAAACGGAUGAAAACAUGAAAUAUGAAUGUUAUAGUAUUCGAGAUAAAUUCGGCUUACCUUAUACCAUAGCAUGUGGGUUGAUGCCAUUGGCAAAAAACAGUCAAAACUGUACGUACGCACGGUUAAUUAAAAUAUGCAGAACUAUUUUCUGUAAAUACCUUUUAUACCUUGAUUGGAUCUAUAUUUAACAUAGGCAUUUUCAAUCUGAUGUUUUGAUUCGUUAUUUGUGCUGUCAUCUUAACCUACCUUUAUUGAUUUGUUUUAUGUUACAUUAUAUGGAACACUAAUUAACAUUCUUAUUCAAACCAGGAUUGGUUUGGCUAAUGAUAUGUGUGUAGUACGUGUAAUUGCCGAACUGGAUAGCAAUGGAUAUCAAUAUUCAUUCUCGACUACCACUACAUAGUUUACUUUUCUGCAACAUAAUUAAUGUUGAUGUUGCUUUUAUAAAUACUUUUUUUUUAAAUAAUCUGUCUCAAACUUUGAAUUUAGAAGAACUAUUUAUACGUUAAGUUUCUCUUUUUAAUUGGUAUAAAGUAGAAAAAACAAGGGCUCUUUUAUAUAUACUUUUAUUGAUUGUUUAUGUUUUUUAAAUGUUCGUUUCUUUUCAAUUGCUAAAUUGUUAACUACACGUUAUUAUAAAUCCGAUUAUAGCUUUUUUCAAGUAUACAUUAGUGUGUGUUUACAGACUUUCCAAGUGACCAGAUUUCAAUUUAUAUUGUAAGUAGUUAUUAUGGAUACCAGAAUUAUAAUUUAGUACGCCAGACGCGCGUUUCGUCUACAUAAGACUCAUCAGUGAUGCUCAAAUCAACAAAGUUAUAAAGUCAAACAAGUACAAAAUUGAAGAGUAUUGUCGACCAAACAUUCCAAAAAGUUGUGUCAAAUACGGCUAAGGUAAUCUUUUAUUGGGAUAAUAAAAUGCUCAUUUUUUUCCAAAAAUUUAAAGUUUUGUCAACAGGAAUUAAAAUUACCAUACAAUUAAUAUUCAUGUCAACACCAAAAAUGCUGACUGCUGGGCUUAACAUCGCUUUCUAUCAGAUUUUGAAACAACAACAAAAAAUCAUUAGAGUGAUAUUUUUAUAAUAUAUCGAUAUGAGGGAUAAUGAUUAUUAGUUUUUUUUUCUCUAUACAUUUCUCAUUGUAUCUAGAUGACAAAUAUUUGAUCCUAUUUCGAUUUGUCUUGGUCUAAAUCAUAUUUGCAUAUGCAUGAUAUAAGGUGUAAUAUUUAUAAGAGAUAAAUAUGUUAGCUAUAUAAAUAUAGUAUUGAUAUCCUUAGAUAAGAAAAAUUUAUUAAUAAAUGCUCGUCUGGAAGCCACAUAAUAAUGUCAUAUUCAUUUUAUUAUUGAAAACAUCGUAAAGGCUAGUGUUUUUUUUUUUAUUUCAAACAAUCGCUUGAAUCUUAUUGCACCUAUCUGACACACGGCUAUAUUAUAUAUAAUAUUUAUACUUUCUGUUUUACCCGGACGUCAAUAUUUGGUACAUACAUUUCGUUAUGCAAAAAUGGUGGAUUAAACUUGGUUUAAAAGCAAAUAAACUCAUCAUAGAAACCAGAUAACUUCAGCUGUCUGGUAUAUGCAGUUAGCCAUAUGUUUGUUUUAAUUUAAGCUUUAAAAGUUAUGUUUUUGAUAUUAGUAUUGUAAACAUUGUGGUUUACAAGAUGCACUAUAAACAUUGACAAUUAGAUCGACCUUAAAUACACACAAUAAAAAUAUUACAUUAUGAACGUUUUCAAACAUAUAGGGUUACCUUUGUAUAGUUAUUAUUUUCGUUUAAUAUUUAUUCGUAUACGUUUGAUUAUUUUUAGGUACGAAGAUGAAAAAAGACAGUAUUUCAACAUGCAUAAUAUUGGGAUAAAUAUGUGUUUAUAAAAUUUCGUUAUUUACAGUAAAUUUGGAUCUAUUUCUACACAAUAUACUUCAGGCAUGGUAUAUUAAAAAUUAUAUAGUUUGCAAUCUUUAAUGAAAUAUUUUGUUGACUAGGUUUGCAAAUGUGUUCAUUUAUUCAUUCAUUCAAAAGAAACAAAACAAUAUUCUGAUUCGGAUAAUACUAUUUCAACAUCAAAUACGUUUUAUAUUUAUUUAAAACCUCGAAUAUGAUUAAUUGAUUGUUGGUUGCUUAACGUCCAGUGGCAAAUAUUUCAUGCAUAUUCAGGACGAGAACAAGUUCACAAAAAAUACAAUAGGUAGGUUGAUACGAUAGAGGCCAUCUGGGAUGAUGGUCGGGGAAAUUUGGACUGCCACUGGAAAAUGAGGGUAUUUUGGAUAGGGACAGAAAUUUUGUCUUGCAACAGGCCACCUACGGACCCCUCAAAAGAGUUGUUGCAAGGGUUCUUAACGUGCAAAGAGCACAUCUUUACACGAGGCAUCGGAUUUAACGUCCCCUUCUGAUCGGACGUGACUGCGAACUUGAUACAUCCCGCACAGCCAAACGGACGCCCCACUUCGGCAAGCGUUUUACUGCCGGUCGGGAGAAGACCAAGUGACCAUAUUUCUAUACCCCAAUCACCCUUGGGGUUCCCUCGAAUAUGUGGUCAUACAAUCUUAGAAUCAAGGUCCUUUUACCAUUACACGUGCUUGUCUUUCUAUCUUUCGUAGUCAGUCUUCUCAUUGAGGUUGAAAAUUUUAUAUUUUCAGAUGCAAGUUCUAUGCAUUGUAUUUUUCCCUUUGAUAUAGGCUUUGGUAGGUAAUAACUUCUAUAAUACUUGAGAAAUUGGGUCAAUUCGGUAAAUACUUAUUUCAGUUCUAAUGCCUCCUAAACAAUUGAUAAAAACUAUCCUUUCAAAACCGUUUUUAUUUUUAAAAAUGAUGUUUAAACUUUCUACUAAAUAAGGAAACAAAAGAGAGCUCAUCCUUUCGUAUAUUAAGGAAGUCUGUAGAUAGACGUGCAAUUUCGUGAAUCCAUAAACCAAUGUGUUACAACCAAUGAAUGUUUGAUAAUUUGUAACAUCUAGUUAAAUUAUAAGUUACCGUAAAUAAACGAAAUCUGAUAUUAUUAAUAAUUAGAGAAUGUGUCAAAAGCUACACAUGACCCGCCCCCUUAAGCAUAUAACAUUUGAUUGAGGAAAACUAAAGUUAGAGAAGAAAAAUCAAUUGUGGGACGUGUGUACAGACAUAUGGAUGGUUGGACAGACGAUGGUGACACUUAAUGCCAACUCUGGUGAAAUAUAGGGCAUUAAAAUAUGUAUAGUAUACAAAUUUUGAAUGAAAGACAGCAAACGAAUAGGACAGUAAACAUCAAAACAUAGGUGUUCAGGCCACACCCGGCCGGAAGGAUCCAAAAAAAAUUCCAAAGUAACAGCAAAUAUUGAACGAGGAGUACAAAUAAACAAUAGUAUAUUAUGUUGAAAAAUAAUUUAUUUCAUAUCAUAUCAAUCACUCCAAAAAUGUAAUGGGUUCCUCUUUUAUAUUUGUCUAAAAACAAAUUAUUUACAUAUACCCGUUUACACUAAUAAUGCCAUUGAUAUUUUGUAGGUCACGGGAAUACUACGUAGUAUAGUCAUGUGAGUGAUUAGGACUUUACGUUUAAAAAUAGCUCUCAAAAGUCUUAGUUUAAAUAUAGUUUAUGGAAUUUAUGGCUAAACAUAGUAAAUGAAAAUUCCGAUUGAUAGUAUAAAUAGUAAAAAAUUAUAGUUCAAGAUCUAUGUUCAUCAUGCUUCCUUUUCAAACUGGUUUCUUGAGUCUUUUUUGUGUUUUGUAGUAAAUCGUAGCCUAUCAUGCACAUGAAACACUCAGUUUAAACGUGUUUUUAAUUUGAAGUAUCAUAUGAACUUUAAAUACGUUGUUACAUAUAGAUAUCAAAUAAUCGUACGUUAUUACACACUGUACUCCCCAUGAUUAAGGCUUAUCAGUCCAUAGUGCGUAUUUAUUUUUAGUAUUGGAUACAAUAGAUUAUGGAAAUGCCCAGUGUGAUAAGAUAAAAUGGUUUAAAAAAGUAUGUCAAUGAAUGUGACGUUCAUGUAUUAAUCAUGCUAAUGUUUGCUUUACUGAUUUCAGUGCAGUGUCGAGAUUAAUGAAAAUGAAUCACGCGUCCUAUAUGAAAUUCCGGUAUCUUUGAUAAAUUUUACAACGCAUGUGAGUACAGUGAGACCUCAGGUGUUGAUAUGACAUAGAACGAUCAAUUGUAAAGGGUUACAAAAAAUUGAUUUUUUCAGUAGACUAAGGUUGUUUAGUUUAUAUCGCAGUAGUUAAGCAAAACAAUAAAUUUUAAAAAAUUAGAUAUUUAUGCUAUUUAGUACAUGAGAAUUCAUUGAUAAAGUUGUCGUUGUUUUUUUUUUUUAAUAAUGGGAAUUUUAAAGAUCUAUUUUUAUCUGUUUAAUAUAAAAAGGGAAACACACUGACGUUAGUCAUAGGUGUUCCUUGUAUAAAUCUAUUUAUUUACCUUUCGUCAUUGAAUUUAACCGGAUCACGACAUUCACUGUUACGUUCACUGAAUUAUUAUUUUUUUAAUUUUAAUUAUGUUUGUUGAUCUUUGACAACAUGUUUUAGAUAACAACAUCAACUACCAAAAUUAAAACUUUUAAUAACUUAUUAUUUCAAUCAGUUUAAUUUAGUUCUGAAGCUGCCAUGUCUGUAAAUACUAGUAGUUUUUGCUAAUUUGUGUAUAAUUGAAAUUUUUCUCACUUAAUUUUAUUACUUAUUCUGGCAUCGGACUGGGGCUUCUUUUUAAACUAAGUUUCACUGUAGGUAUGCUUUUUGCUUUUAGUUGAGUAUGACGUCCAUUUUUACUGAACUUAUAUACAUGUUUAUGAGGAGGCCAGCUGAGACCUUCCUCCGUUUGUUGGAUUUUCGGCUGUAAGGUCGGGUUGUUGUUUCCUUCACAUAUUCCCCAUUCACAUUUUUCCACUCUCAAUUUCUUUUUGUGUAUAACAUAUCGUUUAUUCAAAGUAUUGCUUUUUUUUCAAAUUUGACGCCUUUUAAGUCUUCUCUUUGUGCUCUUGUGAUUUAAAAGAUAUUGAGCACGUUUAAAUAUGUCUUUCUACACGUGUAUUUAUGUAUAUAUAUUGUUGCCAAGCAACAUACGCCUCGGUCGGUUUAACUUAAAACUUGUUCAACAUUUUAAUGUAUAGUAUGUACAUAAUCAUUCAACGCUUUUGUGUGUUUCUUUUCACAACGAUCAAAUAUUUACAGGAGGCCAGUGCUGAGAAAAGUAAAAAAAUAAGACCGGCAAACAUAGAAUAAUGCUGUUAAUAACAAAUAUUUUAUCUGUAAAAUUGCAGUUGAAAAAAUUAUAUAAUUUAUACUAUAUUAAACAUGACAUUGGACUAUAAUAACUUUUUAAAAAUAUAAUAAGAAAUAAAAAACCAAGCAAGUCUUUGACAAAGUCGAUACGACACUUGUGAAACGUGGAAAUAUUUUGUAGGUCAUAUAAACGUCGUUCCUCCACCAGACGAAGAUUUUCAUGGCUUAAUCGUCUCCCAUCGAGACGUUAUUUCACAAUGUUCAUUUCGAAC